CCUACGGGAGGCAGCAGUGAGGAAUAUUGGUCAAUGGACGAGAGUCUGAACCAGCCAAGCAGCGUGAAGGAUGACUGCCCUAUGGGUUGUAAACUUCUUUUAUAUGGGAAUAAAAUGUUCCACGUGUGGAGUUUUGUAUGUACCAUAUGAAUAAGGAUCGGCUAACUCCGUGCCAGCAGCCGAGGGAAUACGGAGGAUGCGAGCGUUAUCCGGAUUUAUUUGGUGUAAAGGGGGCGUAGGUGGAUUGUUAAGUCAGUUGUGAAAGUUUGGGGCUCAACCGUAAAAUUGCAGUUGAAACUGGCAGUCUUGAGUACAGUAGAGGUGGGCGGAAUGCGCGGUGUAGCGGUGAAAUGCUUAGAUAUCACGAAGAACUCCGAUUGCGAAGGCAGCUCACUGGACUGCAACUGACACUGAGGCUCGAAAGUGUGGGUAUCAAACAGGAUUAGAUACCCCAGUAGUC
rnacentral:rRNA from 1 species